UACGUAGGCAGCAAGCGUUGUUCGGAGUUACUGGGCGUAAAGGGGUGUGUAGGCGGUUCUUUUAAGUUUGGUGUGAAAUCUCCCGGCUCAACUGGGAGGGUGCGCCGAAUACUGAAUGACUUCGAGUGCGGGAGAGGAGAGUGGAAUUCCUGGUGUAGCGGUGAAAUGCGUAGAUAUCAGGAGGAACACCGGUGGUGUAGACGGCUCUCUGGACCGUAACUGACGCUGAGACACGAAAGCGUGGGUAGCAAACAGG
rnacentral:rRNA from 1 species